rnacentral:lncRNA from 1 species
ACUCCAAAUGCAGGUAGCCUUCAUCCGAGCUCCCACGGGAGUCAGACCUCUUCCCCGAACGCCAACUGCAGGUAGACUCCGUCCGGGCUCCUACGGGAGUCGGACUUCUUUCCCGAACUCCGACUGUAGGUAGACUUCAUCCGAACUCCUACAAGGGCCGGACUCCGAGCUUCUACUGCAAGCGAUCCACUCCGAGCUUCUGCUACAAACGAUCUACUUUAAAUUUCCACUACGAGCGGUCCGUGCCGGAUUCCCACUGUAAGCCUUCACCCGAGCUUCCAUUGUGAACGAAUUCC